rnacentral:tRNA from 1 species
GGAGAGGUGGCUCAGCAGUUAAGAGCACUGGCUGCUGUUACAGAGGACCUGGGUUUGAUUCCUAGCCCCUACA